rnacentral:rRNA from 1 species
AUGAAUUUAUAUUUAAUGGCCGCAGUAUUUUGACUGUGCAAAGGUAGCAUAAUCAUUAGUUUCUUAAUUAGAGGCUGGAAUGAAUGGUUGGACGAGAAAAUAACUGUCUUUUUAUAAUUUUAUUUGAAUUUUAUUUUUAAGUUAAAAAGCUUAAAUAAUUUUAAAAGACGAGAAGACCCUAUAGAGUUUUAUUAAUUUAGGUUUAAUAGUUUUUUUUGUAUAGUUUUAAAUUAUUAUAGUUUUAUUAAUUUAAUUGGGGUGAUUAAAAAAUUUUAUAAACUUUUUUUAUAUGUUUACAUUUAUUUAUGAAUAUUUGAUCCAUAAUUUUUAUUAUGAUAUAAGAUUAAAUUACCUUAGGGAUAACAGCAUAAUUUUUUUGUAGAGUUCAAAUCGAUAAAGAAGUUUGUGACCUCGAUGUUGGAUUAAAAUUUAUUUUUGGUUGUAGAAGCUAAAAAAUUAGGUCUGUUCGACCUUUAAAAUUUUACAUGAUCUGAGUUUAAACCGGUGUAAGCCAGGUUGGUUUCUAUCUUUAUAUAAUUUAUAUAUAUUUUAGUACGAAAGGACCAAAUAUAGUAAAAAUUUUAUUAAUUAUUGAAUUUUAUUAAUAAU